GAUGAACGCUGGCGGCGUGCAUAACACAUUCAAGUCGAACGGUGAAGUGACUUCGGUCACGGAUCAGUGGCGGACGGGUGAGUAACGCGUGAAUAACCUGCCUGUAUGUGGGGGAUAACAACCGGAAACAGUUGCUAAUACCGCAUAAUGUAUGGAGAUCGCAUGUUUCCAUACCAAAGAUUUAUUGCAUACAGAUGGAUUCGCGUCCGAUUAGAUAGUUGGUGAGGUAACGGCCCACCAAGUCGACGAUCGGUAGCCGGACUGAGAGGUUGAACGGCCACAUUGGAACUGAGAUACGGUCCAGACUCCUACGGGAGGCAGCAGUGGGGAAUAUUGGGCAAUGGGCGAAAGCCUGAUGCAGCGACGCCGCGUGAGCGAAGAAGUAUUUCGGUAUGUAAAGCUCUAUCAGCAGGGAAGAAAAUGACGGUACCUGACUAAGAAGCACCGGCUAAAUACGUG
rnacentral:rRNA from 1 species